UACGUAGGGUGCAAGCGUUGUCCGGAAUUAUUGGGCGUAAAGAGCUCGUAGGCGGUCUGUCACGUCGGCUGUGAAAACCCGAGGCUCAACCUCGGGCCUGCAGUCGAUACGGGCAGGCUAGAGUUCGGUAGGGGAGACUGGAAUUCCUGGUGUAGCGGUGAAAUGCGCAGAUAUCAGGAGGAACACCGGUGGCGAAGGCGGGUCUCUGGGCCGAAACUGACGCUGAGGAGCGAAAGCGUGGGGAGCGAACAGG
rnacentral:rRNA from 1 species